rnacentral:rRNA from 1 species
CUUGGAGGAAUGUAUAGCAACAGCUAUUUGCGUGGUAAUACUAUGCAAAAUCAACUAUGUUGAAUAAAGUUCUGGUUAGAUUAUGAUUAUGACAUUUUCUAACUAUGUGUCUUGACCAAAUUACGUGCCAGCAGUCGCGGAAAUACGUAGAAGACUAGUGUUAUUCAUCUUUAAUAGGUUUAAAGGGUACUUAGACGGCAGAUGAAGCCAUAGUAGGGACUGAUCUGCUAGAGUUUCUUAUAAGGGGGCUAUAAAGUACUAAUGGUGUAGAGAUAAAAUUUUUUGAUACCUUUUUUGUAAACAAAAGUUAUGGCACUGGUAAAGGCGAAGGCAUCCCCCUAUGUGAUAACUGACGUUGAAGGACGAAGGCUUUGGGUCGCGAGAAGGAUUAGAUACCCUAAUAGUCGAAGCAGAAAAUGAUGAGUGU